GCUUAGCUUGCUAAGGUUGAUGGCGACCGGCGCACGGGUGCGUAACGCGUAUGCAACUUGCCUUACAGAGGGGGAUAACCCGUUGAAAGACGGACUAAAACCGCAUACACUUGUAUUAUUGCAUGAUAUUACAAGGAAAUAUUUAUAGCUGUAAGAUAGGCAUGCGUCACAUUAGCUAGUAGGUGAGGUAACGGCUCACCAAGGCGACGAUGGGUAGGGGAACUGAGAGGUUUAUCCCCCACACUGGUACUGAGACUCGGACCAGACUCCUACGGGAGGCAGCAGUGAGGAAUAUUGGUCAAUGGGCGAGAGCCUGAACCAGCCAAGUCGCGUGAGGGAAGACAGUCCUA
rnacentral:rRNA from 1 species